AAUACGUUUUUCUUCGCACU
rnacentral:miRNA from 1 species